UACGGGGGGGGCAAGCGUUGUUCGGAAUUACUGGGCGUAAAGGGCUCGUAGGCGGCCAACUAAGUCGGACGUGAAAUCCCCAGGCUCAACCUGGGAACUGCGUCCGAUACUGGAUGGCUUGAAUUCGGGAGAGGGAUGCAGAAUUCCAGGUGUAGCGGUGAAAUGCGUAGAUAUCUGGAGGAAUACCGGUGGCGAAGGCGGCAUCCUGGACCGAUAUUGACGCUGAUGAGCGAAAGCUAGGGGAGCAAACGGG
rnacentral:rRNA from 1 species